UACGGAGGGUGCAAGCGUUAAUCGGAAUUACUGGGCGUAAAGCGUGCGCAGGCGGUUGGGCAAGACAGAUGUGUAAUCCCCGGGCUUAACCUGGGAAUGGCACUUGUGACUGCACGGCUAGAGUGCGUCAGAGGGGGGUAGAAUUCCACGUGUAGCAGUGAAAUGCGUAGAGAUGUGGAGGAAUACCGAUGGCGAAGGCAGCCCCCUGGGAUGACACUGACGCUCAUGCACGAAAGCGUGGGGAGCAAACAGG
rnacentral:misc_RNA from 1 species